rnacentral:misc_RNA from 1 species
UAUGAAUUGGAAUUUUGCCUUGCAAGUCAAAGAAGGGCAACAAAUUGCCAUACAAGCAAUGGUAGAGAUGUUCAAGAGGUCUUCAUACAGCUUACAUGUCCAUUGUAGAGACUGAAUCCCUUCUCCUCUAACCAGAAGAAAAUUUGUCGGUGCCUAUCUCCUCGUAUGAAUCUGCAAUUCUUUUUCACUGUGUGGUUACUAUAAAAAUUUGGCAGAGUAUGGACAAUUUACAAGGACCUUGGCGAAAAAAGGUACUGGAGACUGAUGCAAUACUGUUACUCCAAUAGCUGUCAUUUGGUUGUUGCUCUGGUUGCUUGUGCUAUAAUGCCAUGGGUUUUUGUUCUCAUGUAUCUGUGGAGCCACCCCAUCAUACAACGCAUUAUUUGAUUAUAUAUUUGGAUGGGUUAGAUAUUUCUAUCCCAGA